GGCGGGAUAGCUCAGUCGGUAGAGCAGUGGACUGAAAAUCCUCGUGUCCCCAGUUCGAUUCUGGGUCCCGCCACCU
rnacentral:tRNA from 1 species